rnacentral:ribozyme from 1 species
UGUCCAGCAAAUCCUAUCCCUACCUCUGCGUGGCACCGGCCGGGCUGCGAGCAUCCGUAGGGAAGAUCGGGUUGCAAUCGCGGUGGGAACUUUGGUCGUAGGCUCACAGAGAAGG